UACGUAGGGCGCAAGCGUUGUCCGGAAUUAUUGGGCGUAAAGAGCUCGUAGGCGGUUUGUCGCGUCGGAUGUGAAAGCCCGGGGCUUAACCCCGGGUCUGCAUUCGAUACGGGCAGACUGGAGUGUGGUAGGGGAGAUCGGAAUUCCUGGUGUAGCGGUGAAAUGCGCAGAUAUCGGGAGGAACACCAGUAGCGAAGGCGGCACUCUGGGCCGGAACUGACGCUGAGGAGCGAAAGCGUGGGGAGCGAACAGG
rnacentral:rRNA from 1 species